rnacentral:misc_RNA from 1 species
AACUUUUGGCAAUGGAUCACUUGGUUCCGGCAUCGAUGAAGAACUCAGCGAAAUGCGAUACGUAAUGUGAAUUGCAGAAUUCAGUGAAUCAUCGAGUCUUUGAACGCACAUUGCGCCCCCUGGUAUUCCGGGGGGCAUGCCUGUCCGAGCGUCAUUGCUGCCCUCAAGCCCGGCUUGUGUGUUGGGUCUGGUCCCCCUUCCUGGGGGGACGGGCCCGAAAGGCAGCGGCGGCACCGCGUCCGGUCCUCGAGCGUAUGGGGCUUUGUCACGCGCUCUGUAGGCCCGGCCGGCGCUUGCCGAUCAACCAAAACUUUUUUCCAGGUUGACCUCGGAUCAGGUAGGGAUACCCGCUGAACUUAAGCAUAUCAAUAAGCGGAGGCU